rnacentral:rRNA from 1 species
UACAGAGGUCUCAAGCGUUGUUCGGAUUCAUUGGGCGUAAAGGGCGCGUAGGCGGCGGGGUAAGUCGGGUGUGAAAUCUCAGAGCUCAACUCUGAAACUGCACUCGAUACUGCUCUGCUUGAGGACUGGAGAGGAGACUGGAAUUCACGGUGUAGCAGUGAAAUGCGUAGAUAUCGUGAGGAAGACCAGUGGCGAAGGCGGGUCUCUGGACAGUUCCUGACACUGAGGCACGAAGGCCAGGGGAGCAAACGGG